CUUCAGCGAACCCAGCCACAACGGCCGGUCCGCCGACCGGGCCUGUCCGUAGGUGGCGAUCAACGCCUGCGCCUC
rnacentral:antisense_RNA from 15 species